rnacentral:rRNA from 1 species
GACGUAGGAGGCGAGCGUUGUCCGGAUUCAUUGGGCGUAAAGAGCUCGUAGGCGGUCUGUUGCGUCCGCUGUGAAAACUCGGGGCUUAACCCCGAGCCUGCAGUGGAUACGGGCAGACUAGAGGUAGGUAGGGGAGAAUGGAAUUCCCGGUGUAGCGGUGAAAUGCGCAGAUAUCAGGAGGAACACCGGUGGCGAAGGCAGGUCUCUGGGCAUUAACUGACGCUGAGGAGCGAAAGCAUGGGGAGCGAACAGG